CUGUGGCAUUGCUCCUGAAGAAGUGGGGCCCUCUUCCCUCCCCAGGCAUCUCCUAUGUUGCUCCUCAUCUCAACAACCUGUACUUCCUGCCCCUGUGCCGGCGCUGGGGUGUCUAUGCGGUGGUGCGGGGGCUUCUCCUGCUCAAGCUGAGCCUAAGCCUCCUCAUGCUGCUGGCUGGCCCAGACCACCCUGGCCUGCUUUGCUUCUUCAUUGCCAGGUAUGCCCCGCCUACCCUUGCCCCCACACCUCCGUGUCCACUCGUUUUUACUCUCGCUUCUUUCUCGCUCUGGGCAGCAACCGUGUCUUCACCGAGGGUACCUGUAAGCUGCUGACCCUCGUGGUCACUGACCUGGUGGAUGAGGACCUGGUGCUGAACCAUCGGAAGCAGGCAGCCUCGGCGCUUCUCUUUGGCAUGGUCGCCCUGGUAACCAAACCCGGCCAGACCUUUGCCCCACUGCUGGGCACCUGGCUGCUCUGCUUCUACACAGGUCAUGACCUUUUUCAGCAGCCCCCAGUGACUUCUGUGGGGAGUGUGCAGCCAUGGCCAGAGCCGCCAGCCCCAGCCCCAGUGCAGGCUCCCACACUGCGCCAAGGCUGCUUCUACCUGCUGGUCCUCGUCCCCAUCAUCUGUGCACUGCUGCAGCUCUUCACCUGGUCCCAGUUCACACUGCAUGGGAGACGCCUACGUAUGGUCAAGGCCCAGCGUCAGAACCUAGCUCAGAUCCAUACCCUGAACAUUAAGAUGGUGUGAGACGUCUGGCAGGGCCACUGUGCUGAGAUCAUUCAUUGCCCUAGUCCCAGCAGUAGCCUCUCUUGCCAGCUAGCAUCCUGCUUCCUCACCACCUCUGGGUUUAAGCCCAGCGAACAGAUGAUGUCGGGGAGCUCCUAGGGUAGAACCAGGAGCAUCACCAAGGUCUGCCCUUCUUUAGUCACAUGACUCAGCUUGUGCAAGGGCUGGGCGUAUGUGCUCAGGGACCUGCAGCUCCUGUAGGGCAGGAAGAAAGGACCAGAAAGGGCAGGACUGAGUGCGGUGCCCAGGAGCUGCCUGGGACCCGUAGCUGGGGCUGGCCACUCGGUGGGCUCCAGGGCUUCUGAUGCUGUGACUGCCCCCUUUGCCCACUCAGGUGAAGCUGAAAGUGCCACUUGCCUAUUCUAGUAGUUUCUCAGAGGGUCCUCUGCUUCAGCUAUGCUGGAAGUGGCAUGCCCCCUCUACUGCAGGGCUCCCCAAAGCCCAGCAGGCCUCCAAACGCUAAAGAGGCUCAUCUCAUUUCAAAUCAAGUAAAGCCAGCCAUUCCGAUUCUC
rnacentral:lncRNA from 1 species